UCCUACGGGACGCAGCAGUGAGGAAUAUUGGUCAAUGGGCGGAAGCCUGAACCAGCCAAGUCGCGUGAGGGAUUAAGGCCCUAUGGGUCGUAAACCUCUUUUGUCAGGGAGCAAGGUCGUCCACGUGUGGGCGUAUGGAGAGUACCUGAAGAAAAAGCAUCGGCUAACUCCGUGCCAGCAGCCGCGGUAAUACGGAGGAUGCGAGCGUUAUCCGGAUUUAUUGGGUUUAAAGGGUGCGUAGGCGGAAUGCCAAGUCAGCGGUAAAAUCGCGGGGCUCAACCUCGCUCCGCCGUUGAAACUGGCGU
rnacentral:rRNA from 1 species